rnacentral:lncRNA from 1 species
UCACCCUCAGCCGCCUCACAUUCGAUGCUCCUCUUUGGCUCCGACGAAGACCGACAGAAGAGGUUCCGACGGUGCGCCUUGGUGAGGCUUCUUUUAUCCCUUUCUUUUUUAAAAAAAAAAGGUAACAAAACCAAUUUAGGUACUUAAAAAAAACCGAAAUGGGAAAGAAAAAGAAAUGGCCUUUCGGCCUUUGUCCCCGAUUGCAACACGAACGAACCCUCGAAGGGCUUUCGUGACCUUGACGAACGGAGGGGACCUCCGUCGACGGCGCACGACCCAACCCCCAGGUACGUUUUAACCCCUUUUCCUCCUUAUACUUAUAAUAAUAUUCAAAAAAGAAAAAAUAAAAAAUAAAAACAGGAGUAGAAACUUGAAGAUAAAAGAGAUUAUCAACCUUUUUUGAUUGACUUUUGCUCUCCUUUUCUAUUCGAUUGAUCUUUUUUUUUUUUAGAAACUUGAAGAUAAAAGAGAUUAUCAACCUUUUUUGAUUGACUUUUGCUCUCCUUUUCUAUUCGAUUGAUCUUCUUCUUUUUUACAAGGUUAUUUUAGUGGCUUUUAUAGCCACGAUUACACUGUUGGUCCAUGUUACUGUUCGCUAUUUUCUUUUCUAUGUUUUGCUUUUGUUUCUGUCUUCUCGUUGCCGUUUCUGUGCUGCUUCUUUUGGUCUUUUUUGUAGGUGUCGGGGGUCAAUGGAGAGGAUUGCUAUUUUGGUGUCAAUGGAGGCUGGGCAGGCCUCGGGACGAGGCGUGGACGUUGCGCUCGAGGAGGAGCGACGCAAAGGAAAGGGAACCCUAGGGUUCCCUGUGCUUGCCUAGUCUUUAGGCCCCCUUGGGCCGUUUAGAAUCCGGGCCGUUUUGGGCCUGUUGUACAUGGGUCAUUUAAUUUUAUUAUUUUGGUUUUGUUUCGGGCCUGGGCUAUUAAGUUUGAUAUGAGAGGGAAGAUAAACGUUGAUAAAAAUUUCUGGUAAAUGAGAAAUUUUUGUUAAGUUUGUAAGAAAUCUAGCAAAAGUAGAAUUUUUUUUUAGUUUAAACCAUAUAUAUUGAAAUUUUUUACACUUAUAUAUUUUUAAUUUUAAUUUUUUAUAAUUUAUAUAUUUUUAAAUUUUUAAGAUCUAAAAAAAAUUUGAAAUAAUAUGUAAAUAAUGAUUGUUAAUUCUUUUAGAAUAAGGAUCAAAUUCACAUAAUAAUAAAUUUAGCCUUUAAC